rnacentral:lncRNA from 1 species
GGCUGCUGUCCUCAACUGCACUUUGAAUCCACUACCUUGAUUGUCCUGAUACCAAGUAGGAACAAAACAGGCCUCCUGGCUAUGAGCGUCUCCCACCCCAUGCUUCUUACUUUCUUGCCCAGGAGCACUUAGGAAAACAACAACUUACUCAGCGGAGGGAAACCGCUUCCUGUGUUUGACAGAAUCUGUCGUGAUGAACAUGGCCAACACGAUGGACCUAAUUCUUGGUACCAGCUCUUCUGUAAGUCCCACCUGAUUUCAAACUAAAAAGUUAAAACAGCAACAGAAGAAACUAAGUCGUUUUCAGAGGCAGCUGCAAGGAACGAUGGGUGGAGUGUGGCAUCGCUGGACCUCUCAUAAUUUUCAUCAUCUAUUUCCUGGUUACUCCAAAUAAAAUUAA